rnacentral:rRNA from 1 species
UGAGUAACACGUGGGCAAUCUGCCCUGCACUUCGGGAUAAGCCUGGGAAACUGGGUCUAAUACCGGAUAGGACCUUUAGACGCAUGUCUUUUGGUGGAAAGCUUUUGCGGUGUGGGAUGGGCCCGCGGCCUAUCAGCUUGUUGGUGGGGUGAUGGCCUACCAAGGCGACGACGGGUAGCCGGCCUGAGAGGGUGUCCGGCCACACUGGGACUGAGAUACGGCCCAGACUCCUACGGGAGGCAGCAGUGGGGAAUAUUGCACAAUGGGCGCAAGCCUGAUGCAGCGACGCCGCGUGGGGGAUGACGGCCUUCGGGUUGUAAACCUCUUUCACCAUCGACGAAGGUCCGGGUUUUCUCGGAUUGACGGUAGGUGGAGAAGAAGCACCGGCCAACUACGUGCCAGCAGCCGCGGUAAUACGUAGGGUGCGAGCGUUGUCCGGAAUUACUGGGCGUAAAGAGCUCGUAGGUGGUUUGUCGCGUUGUUCGUGAAAUCUCACGGCUUAACUGUGAGCGUGCGGGCGAUACGGGCAGACUAGAGUACUGCAGGGGAGACUGGAAUUCCUGGUGUAGCGGUGGAAUGCGCAGAUAUCAGGAGGAACACCGGUGGCGAAGGCGGGUCUCUGGGCAGUAACUGACGCUGAGGAGCGAAAGCGUGGGGAGCGAACAGGAUUAGAUACCCUGGUAGUCCACGCCGUAAACGGUGGGUACUAGGGUGUGGGUUUCCUUCCUUGGGAUCCGUGCCGUAGCUAACGCAUUAAGUACCCCGCCUGGGGGAGUACGGGCCGCAAGGCUAAAACUCAAAAGGAAUUUGACGGGGGGCCCGCACAA